UGGGGUGGUUAAAAUCCGGAUGUUCCACAUGAUCGCAUGUGAUUGUGGGAAAGAUUCUAUCGGCGUGGGAUGGGGUCGCGUCCUAUCAGCUUGUUGGUGAGGUAACGGCUCACCAAGGCUUCGACGGGUAGCCGGCCUGAGAGGGCGACCGGCCACAUUGGGACUGAGAUACGGCCCAGACUCCUACGGGAGGCAGCAGUGGGGAAUAUUGCACAAUGGGCGCAAGCCUGAUGCAGCGACGCCGCGUGAGGGAUGGAGGCCUUCGGGUUGUAAACCUCUUUUGUUUGGGAGCAAGCCUUCGGGUGAGUGUACCUUUCGAAUAAGCGCCGGCUAACUACGUGCCAGCAGCCGCGGUAAUACGUAGGGCGCAAGCGUUAUCCGGAUUUAUUGGGCGUAAAGGGCUCGUAGGCGGCUCGUCGCGUCCGGUGUGAAAGUCCAUCGCUUAACGGUGGAUCUGCGCCGGGUACGGGCGGGCUGGAGUGCGGUAGGGGAGACUGGAAUUCCCGGUGUAACGGUGGAAUGUGUAGAUAUCGGGAAGAACACCGAUGGCGAAGGCAGGUCUCUGGGCCGUCACUGACGCUGAGGAGCGAAAGCGUGGGGAGCGAACAGGAUUAGAUACCCUGGUAGUCCACGCCGUAAACGGUGGACGCUGGAUGUGGGGCACGUUCCACGUGUUCCGUGUCGGAGCUAACGCGUUAAGCGUCCCGCCUGGGGAGUACGGCCGCAAGGCUAAAACUCAAAGAAAUUGACGGGGGCCCGCACAAGCGGCGGAGCAUGCGGAUUAAUUCGAUGCAACGCGAAGAACCUUACCUGGGCUUGACAUGUUCCCGACGACGCCAGAGAUGGCGUUUCCCUUCGGGGCGGGUUCACAGUGUGGUGCACAUGGUUCA
rnacentral:rRNA from 1 species